GUACGGAAGGCAGCAGUGGGGAAUAUUGGGCAAUGGGGGAAACCCUGACCCAGCAACGCCGCGUGAAGGACGAAGGCCUUCGGGUUGUAAACUUCUUUGAUCAGGGACGAACAAUGACGGUACCUGAAGAACAAGCCACGGCUAACUACGUGCCAGCAGCCGCGGUAAUACGUAGGUGGCGAGCGUUAUCCGGAUUUACUGGGUGUAAAGGGCGUGCAGGCGGGUCUGCCAGUCGGGUGUGAAAUUUCCGGGCUUAACCCGGACAGGUCAUCCGAAACUGCGGAUCUUGAGUACUGGAGAGGAUAGUGGAAUUCCUAGUGUAGCGGUAAAAUGCGUAGAUAUUAGGAGGAACACCAGUGGCGAAGGCGGCUAUCUGGACAGUAACUGACGCUGAGGCGCGAAAGCGUGGGGAGCAAACAGGAUUAGAUACCCUGGUAGC
rnacentral:rRNA from 1 species